AGUGGCGGCAUCCACCGUGAGGAGGAGAGGAGCUCUGAUACCCUCAGGACCCGCCAGGAGGGGCAUCACGGAGGCUUCUGGACGACUUGGAGCUGUGUCCUGGGGAGAAAACCGCUCCUGUCUGGGCCCUGAGUGCUGAGGAGGAAGCUGCCAUGCACUUUUCCCUGGCAUUUUUCCUGCAUGGUUCGUCUGUGUUUUUGCAAAUGACAUGUUGUCAUGAAUUUUUAUGCAUGAGGCAUAUUUCAUCAUGUCUGUAUGCUGAAGUCCCUUCAUCCUUUCAUUGGUUGGUGGACAGGU
rnacentral:lncRNA from 10 species